rnacentral:rRNA from 1 species
AUCUCUGUAGAGUCUGCAUAUCAAUAAGCGGAGGAAAAGAAACUAACAAGGAUUCCCUUAGUAACGGCGAGUGAAGCGGGAAGAGCUCAAAUUUGAAAUCUUCAAGGUUCUACCUUGACGAAUUGUAGUUUAAAGAAGUGUUUUCUGUUAGAUGAGUAGCAAAAGUUCCUUGGAAUGGGACAUCAUAGAGGGUGAGAAUCCCGUAUUUGGUUAUUCAUUCUAGCUUUGUGAUACACUUUAAAGAGUCGGAUUGUUUGGGAAUGCAGUCCAAAAUGGGUGGUAAAUUUCAUCUAAAGCUAAAUAUUGGCGAGAGACCGAUAGCGAACAAGUACCGUGAGGGAAAGAUGAAAAGAACUUUGAAAAGAGAGUUAAACAGUACGUGAAAUUGUCAAAAGGGAAGCGUUUGACACCAGUGUUGUUUUUCCGAAAAUCAAUUACGAAUGGUUUGAUUUUGAGUAGUUAUGACCUUCAUCAGCUUUCUCACUUUCUUUAUGAGUACUUUCUUAAUGCACUUUUCGGUUAACAAGUCAACAUCAAUUUCUUUUGUUGUAAAAGAGUAUUAGGAAGGUGGCUUUCUUUUCGGAGAAAGUGUUUAUAGCCUUAUCCUCUACAAUCGGAGAGAUUGAGGUCUGCAGCGUAGAUCCUUCGGGGUUAGAUACAUUUGUGCUAAGUUGUAGCUUUUCAUAGACAACUUGUUGACUAUGUUUAGUCUUGUAGGCUUACUCGCUUAGUGCUAUUUUACCUACGCUUAGGAUGUUGACUGAUAUGUAGUCGUA